AAAAGUUCUUCUUAAGUCCAAACAAAAUUUUUAUAAUAAAAAAUAUUGUAGAGAAAAACAUUAAAAUAGACUAUUUAAAAUGAGUGUAUUUUAAGAUUACUCUAAUUUUUUAAAAUAUUUUACUUUCUUAUUGAUAAAAUGAGAAUUACUUUUGUGUGAUGGUUAUUGAUGAAGACAACAUGAAGUAACAUAACUUUAAUUGUCAAUGAUAACAUUAGUUGUAUA
rnacentral:misc_RNA from 1 species